GUCUAUGGCCAUGCCACCUUGAACAAACCUGAUCCUGUUUGAUCUCGGAAGCUAAGCAGGGUCGGGCUUGGUUAGUACUUGGAUGGGAGACCACCUAGGAAGACCAUGUGUUACAGCAU
rnacentral:rRNA from 1 species